GAGAAAAAAAACCAACCAACCCCCCUCCUCCCCCCCCAAAAAAAACAAAAGGAAAAGGAAUAAUGAAGGUUUUGAGGUGCAAGGCGUGUGAGGGUGGUACGCGUCGCGUGUUUGCCCCUCAGCUUUCUGUAAUGGUUCUGUGCUGUCCGGAGCGAGAAGGCAGAGGCACUGGGUCCUCCGGAGCUGGAAUUACUGGCUGUUCUGAGACACCUGACAUGGAUGCAGGGAACCUAACUUGGGUCCUCUGGUAGAGCCAUCUCUCCAGCCACAACCGUGAAAGGUUUUUUUAAAGCAGUUCUCCAACUCAGACAAAUCAGAAGCAUCAGUGA